AGCGAACGCUGGCGGCAGGCCUAAAACAUGCAAGUCGAACGGAUCCUUCGGGAUUAGUGGCGGACGGGUGAGUAACACGUGGGAACGUGCCUUUUGGUUCGGAACAACUCAGGGAAACUUGAGCUAAUACCGAAUGUGCCCUUCGGGGGAAAGAUUUAUCGCCAUUAGAGCGGCCCCGCGUCUGAUUAGCUAGUUGGUAGGGUAAAGGCCUACCAAGGCUACGAUCAGUAGCUGGUCUGAGAGGAUGAUCAGCCACACUGGGACUGAGACACGGCCCAGACUCCUACGGGAGGCAGCAGUUAGGAAUCUUGCGCAAUGGGCGAAAGCCUGACGCAGCCAUGCCGCGUGAAUGAUGAAGGUCUUAGGAUUGUAAAAUUCUUUCAGCGGGGACGAUAAUGACGGUACCCGCAGAAGAAGCUCCGGCUAACUUCGUGCCAGCAGCCGCGGUAAUACGAAGGGGGCUAGCGUUGCUCGGAAUUACUGGGCGUAAAGGGCGCGUAGGCGGACAGUUAAGUCAGAGGUGAAAGCCCAGGGCUCAACCUUGGAACUGCCUUUGAUACUGGCU
rnacentral:rRNA from 1 species